rnacentral:lncRNA from 1 species
CUCAUUCUCUCUUUACGUUCCUACAUAAAUAUUUUUUGUUUUUGUUUUUGUUUUUUUUUUAACCUUUUCAUUAAAAAGCAAACACCUUACAGACCCAAGGACCACUAGCACGCAGGCCCAGAAAACAUACACAACCAUAAAGGUCCACAAAGGCAUACAAGCCCCACUUUACAAGGCCAAAAGACCAAAAACCAAAGCACGUAGGCCCGAGAAAGAAAAAGAAGGGAGAAAAAAAGAGAGAGCGAAAGAGGGGAGUAUACAACCUGAGAGAGAGAGACGCCAAACCUUAGGGAGGGGGAGACCUGCACUAAGGAGGAUAAACAAGAGAGAUAGAAUGAUAAUUUAAAAGAGGGAGAACCAAGUUCCCAAGAGAGACAACGCCGUCGGAGCGAUCCGCUGAGAACCAUGUAUGUAUUUUUUGUUUUUGUUUCUGUAUGACUGUGUCACACCUAAUAGAUUUAGGAUUAAUAUCUAAUCUAAAUAAGUUUCUAUCAAUUACCACAAAUUACAUACAUGCAUGAACAAUUGCACAUAGUCAGCAUGCAAUAACUAUAUGUUAAUAAACAAUUACUUAUAAAUUAAUUAAAAUGAAUCAAAAGACUACAUAUAUAUGGCUAAUGUGUAAAAUGAUUUUUUGAUCAAGAAAAUAAAAGUUAAAUCAUAGUUUCCAUGUUUUUAACGCCUUUUUAGUCAAAACAAACUAUAUAAGGCUUGACAUGCGGUUUUAUUUAGAUGAGAGAUGAUCCAAAAAUUAUUUCCUAGGUAGAUGAGUUUGUUCUUAAACUUUGUCCUUUUUAACUAGUUUUUGUAUUUAAUGACUUUUUCUUAUAUAAGUUUCUUAGGUGAUACGCUUUAAGUCUGAAAAUAUUAAAUGUAUGAUGCAGAUCGUUUCUUCGGUGGUACAUCUUCUUACUAUCAUCUUUCUCCAUUCUGUUCUCAGUUUAUGUUGAAGGACGCCUUUGAUCUUCUUCUUACUUUUCAUGUUCUGUUCUCAGCUUAUCUUGAAGGACGCCUUUGAUCUCUUUUCUGUUCUUAUAUCAGCUAAUGUGUUUUCUUUGGAGCUAUCAUUUUUUUUGCUAG